AAAAAAAGGUAUGAUCUGAAUGGUGACUUUCAAAUUGUAUCACUCACAACCCACCAGAAAUACAUUCCAUCAUAUGACCUAGACUCACAUAAGAGUGUGUGCACACACUCAGAAUGCUUUAAUUUAUUCUAAAUUGAAAUAAAAACAGCUAGAAAUUCUAGAUUGGAAAAAAAAAACGCCAAAGGAUAGAGUAAAACGCAUAAAGUAACUUUUAAAAAUGUAUGGAUGUAAAUGCAAGAGUUGUGCACUGAGCAGAACCCUUCUUUCCUAAGUUUAAGACAAUAUGAGAAUAAUUUACCCCUUAGUAACAGUUUUCGUUCUAUGUGUGCGAAGAGGAGUAACCUUCCAAUGACAGCAGGCUGAAUGGGAUCCUAACUGGGAAUAACAUCAAUUUCACUUAAGAAUGGGGAGAAGAGCUAGAUUAUUUUUUUUUAAUUUUUUUUUUAACAUUUAUUUAUUUUUGAGACAGGGAGAGACAGCAUUAACGGGGGAGGGUCAGAGAGAGAGGGAGACACAGAAUCAGAAACAGGCUCCAGGCUCUGAGCUGUCAGCACAGAACCUGAUGCGGGGCUCGAACUCACGGACUGCGAGAUCAUGACCUGAGCCGAAGUCGGAUGCUUAACCGACUGAGCCACCCAGGUGCCCCGAGCUAGAUUAUUUAAGUUGUGUCUAAAACAUUCUAUUCAGAAUAAAAUAAACGAUCCUUACACCUGGAGGAAGAUUAAAAGCCAAGCCACAGGGUCAAGCCAUUCCCAGGGAGCCAAUAGAAAGAGUGGAAAAUUCCGGGCAUGUACGGUACAAGUUCCUUCCUUGCCCACAGUAGAUUUCACUUACCAAUCGUAGUUUUCCCUUCAGAUGAGCCCCAGUCUGAGCCUCGUCUCAAACCAUUCUCUAGACAGCCAUCAUCAGUUCUCCACCGGCUGGGCCCCUGGAGGCAGAGAGCCAAUGCGUGAUCUCACCACCACACACACCACAGCGACACUUCCCAGCCCAGGAAGAGGUCACAGCAGCAUCGUUUUCUUCCCAGGUUAUGAAGGACUUGUUUGCCGUGUACUUAAUUCUACCCCUGAAAGCAAGACUUGUGGGCUGCGAAAGAAAGACUAAUGCCAUCCCUGCAGAUGACUUGAAAAACAGAAACGACCCUGAGAUCACUCAGAGUUAAGAAGGUUCUCCUAACAGACCCAUAGCUGGUCCCUGAGAACAAAGAAAUCUAAGACUUAACACAAUGUGAGUACAAAGGUUGAAAAGGGUUUUAAACUAAUUAGUAAGAAGCACGGAUAAAAGAGUACAAAUCAAACCUUAAGUUUUUCUUUUAAAAAUAACCUUUGGGGUGCCUGGGUGGCUCAGUUGGUUAAGCGUCCGACUUUGGCUCAGGUCAUGAUCUCACCGUUCGUGAGUUCGAGCCCCGCGUCGGGCUCUGUGCUGACAGCUCAGAGCCUGGAGCCUGCUUUAGAUUCUCUGUCUCCCACUCUCUCUGCCCCUCCCCUGUUCACAGUCUGUCUCUCAAUAAUAAAUAAAUGUUUUUAAAAAAUAACCUUUAAAUCCUAGAGAAUAGAGAAUAUUUAAUAGCCAGGUAUAUGUUGAGCAAUAAACCUGGGAAAUUAUGGGCAUAAAAUUCUGCAGAACUGAACAGAGUCCCAUCCGAGUGGCACAAUUAAUUUUGUGCUCGCUUGUUUAACACUGAGUCCUGUGCUAGAGUAAAAGCCCCUUGGGAGCAUGGACUUUGUGUUUCAUGUUCUCCGCCAGAUCCUCUGUCUUCGAAUAGAGCCGUGUCUGCGGCAGGCGCACAAAACCUGUAUGGCAUCGCUGGUGCAUGAAUUCAGCUCCCCACUUGUACCCGUGCCUCAGGAACAUAGCUCAUGGCUUCCCUAGUCCCUGAAAACUUACUCUUUUCCCUCCUUGAUCCCUAAGUAUCCAUCAUUUAAGUAGAUAAUGCUAAAGUUUUCCUUAAAUAGUUUCUAAGUCCUCAUGAUAAAAGCCCUAAUUCUAGACUGGACAGACCUGAUGAUGGACACUUACUUGCUCACAGACCUGAAAAAGGAGACAAUGUUCAGAACACCAAGGCUGUGCUUAAAGACAUCAUCCAAAGCAAAGCACAGCUAGUCACAAACUCGAAAGGCCAAGGAGCUUUAAGUUACUUGAAACGGGGAAGGGAAAACAAGAGUCAUGAGGCCAAGUAAUGACAAAGGUUUGGAGGACUGGUAUGGACUGAAAGAAUCAAGGUCAAAAUAAAUGUAAAGAGCGUGUGUGACUGGCCUAAAUUGCCAGGGGGAAGAAAAUGGAAGAUAUGAGAUUAAUAAAGAAAAUUCAGAGUUAGAAAUCUGGUAGCUGGAGCUAUUUCAGCUCUGGAGGUUCAAGGAAUGACCCUGGCUGUCCUAUGCUGAGGUUGUGAGGCUACGGACGCGAAUAUGUGUUAUUCCAAAAUACUUAGAGACCAUGACGUUCAAUUAGAAUGCACGAGUAGGCUUUCUGUGUUACAGUAAGACGUUCUCACCUGUUCCUUACAGAAAUUCGUAUACUCUGUCCCACCAGCCCCUGCUGGAUAACCCCAAUAAUUUUACUAUCGUCAGUUACAAUGUUAGAAGAAUAACCAUCUCAAAAAUAUUGAAGCUUUUAUUAGUAUGGCUAUGGGGGCAAAUAUGUGAAGGGCACAGAGUAAGGGAUUUCUUAAAAUAAUAAAGAAGUUUCGCUUUUUUUGUGUACCGUAGGAAAUACUAAAUGUCCACCAAUUCUCUCUCUACUGUGCCAAACUUCAUUAGUUCAAGAAAUAUUUUUCACUCUACUUUCCAUUCCCUGUUCAUGAAAAAACUUUCCUAGACCCCACUGGUCUAUACAUUCUUCUCUUUUAUUUGCAGUCCUUAACAUUCAGGGGAGCCUCCGUGAGUAAUGACAUGAGGGGAAAUGGUGCAGAAAGUUGGGAGAGCUCUUCGCCGGCGAAUUUAUUAUGCGUAUUUUAAAGUUGACCUUUUAAUCCAAGUUUUUAUUCAAUUCCGUUGCAAGGAGUUAGGCAACACGGUCAGUUUGAAUAUUUGUAUGCCACUGGCACUGAACAGAGAUUUUAUGAGGAAAAAGUCACAGAUUAAAUCACGAAGAGGCCAAUAUAUUCUUUUUAAGGCUAAAUGGAGGUAGGAUGGAGAUUUUUGAGAAAGAAAGUACAUUUUCCACAAAAAGAAAACCGGGCUCUAAAUUUUAAGAACUGGACACACACCUCAUUUUCGUAAUUUCUUCUCCAAAUGAGAUGUUGCUGGUAACUGCGUCCACGUGAGCACAUAAAUGGCAUUAGUCACACCGAUGCUAUCGUUUCUCAUUCCUGUCUUCGGGAACAAAUAGCUUUUCACAAGUUGCUCUGAGGUUAACCUUUCUCUUGGGUAGGAGUGUAAUUUAUAAGAGCUGAACCUCAGCACAAAAAAUCAAGGAAAUAAUAUUAGUCAGAGGGGACAGGAUGAACACAUUGGCUACAAACUUGGAGUAAAGGAAGUCCCAAGUUACUGUGUAGUUUCCAUUGAUUUCAUAUUCUGGCCUUCUCGGGACAUUCCAGAUGCCAGGACCUCUCGUAGACUUUAGGCGAGACACAUACCAUCUUAACGUAAAGAAAAGAAUCUUCUAACAUGUUGCCAUCCGACAACCACAGAAUGCACUCCCGCCCCCUGGCCAUGGAAAGCACCCCAGUGUUCAGUCGGAGGCUGAACAAACACUCUUGGGGACCUAGCCCCUAAAUUAAGCUCCAACAUUCUACGUUGGGUAAUUCCCCGGGAGAGCCCACGUAUACCUACAUGAAGUCUGAGGGAGAGGAUGUAUCUGUUUUCUAGAUUGUGUUGCUUGAUUAAAACCAUCAGAACCAAUCUUAACUUUGUAUUUUUUACACAUGUAUUCUUAGGGCCUCGUUGAAAUUUUACCCCUAGCGCAUCUGCUCGGCAGGCUCCUGGGUGCAGGCUCCUGGCUGGGGAAGGGUUGGACCUGUAGAAGCGUGCGUGAAAGGACGCAGAUCGUUCCAUGAGCGGUUCAAGGUCCCGGGCAGGAGAUGGGCCCCAUGCCGCUUCAUGGAGGAAUGCUGGUGGGCCUCAACUUCCAGCAUGAACACAACCUGUGAACAUGUGUACAAGACUGGACUUCUACGUUUCCAGUAAGAGCUGUUUGUGAGAAGUCUGUACCAACGGGUUGAUAUUAAGAGCAAAAAGGACACAGUGCCCAUGAACAUCUUGGUCACAAUUGUGUAAAUACUAGACAAUACUGGGAAACUAUAUAUUGACACUUUUACCCUGGUUAGCUUUGAAUAAUGAAAUUGCAGGUAACGUU